UUAAGUUAGUAGAUAGUAAUCAUCCGAAGGUAGAAUAACUAAGGGUUAGAAUACUUAUCUAAUAUUAAACACAUAGGAAAAUAUGGGAUUUUCCUGGGAUAACAUAACAGUUAGUAACGAACCUGAAAACGAACAGACAACUCAACACAAAGGAAAAUAUGGGAUUUUCCUGGGAUAACAUAACAGUUAGUAACGAACCUAGAAACGAACAAACAACUCAACACAUAGGAAAAUAUGGGAUUUUCCUAGGUAGUACAUUAACACAUAAUCGAGUAAAUUAACAAACGAAUAACUAAAACUAUAAGGAAAAUAUGGGAUUUACCUGGAACUACAUAAUCAACGCUUUCGAAAUUGUACAAAGGAUAACCAAACUGUUUUCAUAAGAAAAUAUCGGAUUUUCUUGAACCACAACUUUUCAGAAAACAAAGGAGCUCACUCUUUCAAAACUAAACCACUUAUGAACUCACCAGCUUUAUGCUGAUUUUCAAACUGCUUGUAUUCUUAGGUCAGCGUUA
rnacentral:lncRNA from 1 species